ensembl:lncRNA
GUGAGCACGUCAAUGAGAGCCAUGGGAACUCAGAAAUAUUCAUUUCUCCCUCAACCUUGAUCCUUUUAACGCAGGAAGCCAACAGGAGCUGGGCUGCCAAUCAAAGGGCUGUCCCUGAUGGCAUAGUGGUCUGGCGGCCCACCCCCUGCCUGCCUCUCCAUCACCAAGCUCCAGGAACACUGCCUCCUUGCCAUUUCCUGAAUGAACCUGGGUCUUCUUUGAUGUCCCUUGAGGACAGCUCCUUCUCGUGCAGCAGGAGAGAUCCCCUCUCCCCAACCCUUCCUUGGAGACUGUCCUUGGCACCAGGCCCAAUGACCUCUCCUCCCCAGGCCCUUCUAGCACCUUGCCUGCCUGACUGCCCACCCCUCACCUCACUGGUCU